UGUAAUAGAGGUGCAAAUGCAAAGAGUACAUAUAUUUAGCUUGGUAGGCAUUGAGAUAUAUGAAAAGGUGUAAUUGCCGAAGUGAUAAUUUACCGAGGGUUAUUGCUGGUCGUUUGUUUAAGAGACACUCGACUGUCAUCAAUAUUUGAUGGAGUGCUAUUUC
rnacentral:ncRNA from 1 species